UCAGAAUCAUUAUAUUUUAAUACAAUGUAGGUGCCCACUAUAUACAGGUGUUGGAUGAUUUUGGCACUCAUUGGAACUACUAUGUUGCCAUGGAAACUACACCAAAAAUUUCAAAAAUAUCAAAAUGCUCCAAACUUCAUGAAACUUCACAGUAACGAUGAGCAACAUUGGAAGAUGUGGAAUUUGGCGUUGGAAUUUCCAAAAUAUCUGUUGUUACCAUGGAAACAAUGCAAAAAGGUCAAAACUUUGAAUUUUCACAGAACAUUCCAGAACAUCAAUGUUAAAUUUAUUCUAGAGACAUUAAAUGGUAUAUGAUUAUGGAGGGAAAAAAUUGCAGCGGGGGUUUGACUUUGGAAUAUUCAAAAUGGCCGCCGUUACCAUGGGAACAGCAAAAAUUAUGAAAAACUUCAAAAUGCUUUAAAUUUAAUGAAACUUAUAACAAAUUUUGCCUAGCUUAUGUAGACUUAACUUUUGAGUUUCGAAUUUUCAAAAUGGCCGCCGUUGCCAUGGAAACAGCAAAAAUUUUCUAAAUGGCUGCCGCUGGCCUGGCAAUGGGGAAAGGGUGCCAUCCGCUAUUGCUUGCAAUGGCAAAUCUAGUUAUGGCACCCUCAACGGAGUUGGGGUGACAUAUUGUUAUUCUACGUUUCUUUUUUUUCUUAUUAUGUCACCCGAUCGACAAUGUCGGGUGACAUAUUGCUUUUCUUAUGUUUCUUUGUUAUUAUUAUUAUUCUUCCACCUUUUUUUGUCCGACAGGUUUUUUGGAGUAAAAUGGAACCAAUCUUAAUGAUAAUUCACUAUAAGGAGGAACACAAAAUUUCGGGUUGCAGUAGGGUCUAAGACCAUAAAAAAUGGCUGCCGUUUCCAUGGAAACGGAACAAUUGUGAAAAAUUCCAGUUUUUGGUUUUGUGAAUAAUUUGGAGAUGCUUAAACUCAGAAUCAUCAUAUUUUAUACAAUGUAGGUGCCAGCCAUAUACUGGUUUUGGAUGAUUUUGGCAAUCAUUGGAACCACUAUGUUGCCAUGGAAACUACCCCAAAAAUUUCAAAAAUAUCAAAAUGCUCCAAAUUUUUUGAAACUUCAUAGUAACGAUGAGCAACUUUGGUAGAUGUGGAAUUUGGCGUUGGAAUUUCC
rnacentral:lncRNA from 1 species